rnacentral:misc_RNA from 1 species
AUUUCAAUCGCCUGCAGUGGUUCCUUGUAGUCGCACGCUGACGACGCUCGCCCUUCGUCAGAUUCUUUCGGGCAGAAAAGCGACGGCAAGCGAACUAACGCACAAUCUCCACGUAAAACUGAAGUUAAAAACUUAGUGCUGCCGACAGUCAAAUGAUGAUCACGAGGUUCUUAGUAUUGCUGUGGCUCAGUAAUUGGGUAAUCGGAACGUUCAGUGAAAGAAACAUCAAGACAACUUCGUACAGGAUAAGACGGCAAACAGACGUCACUGAUGGGGAUGGGGACCAACAGACCAUCACUGUCACAGGGGAACCAGGAGAUGCUGGAGCCGAAGGAGAACAGGGCCCACCUGGAUACACAGGACCCCCAGGAACACAGGGACCGAGAGGAUCACGGGGUCCCCAAGGCAGCAGGGGUCAGCAGGGUAUUACAGGACCUCCUGGUCUCCCAGGCCCGCCAGGACCCCCGGGAACCACGCUGUACGAGUCGAUACCUGGCGAAAAGGGACCUGUCAUUCGACCAAUCGUUGUGACAACAGCUGCCAUAAAAAUGAAGGUAAUUAGAGGAGCUCCUGGAGCCAAAGGACUUCCUGGCUCAAGGGGCAUGAUGGGUAUUUCAGGAGAGCCGGGAGGAAUUGGUGAAAUGGGCGUCAAUGGAGAACGUGGUGAUCCUGGUGGACCAGGUCUGCCCGGAUUAGAUGGAACUCCAGGUGAGAGAGGAAAACCUGGCAAACAAGGGCCUCCUGGUAUGAAAGGAUAUCAAGGUGGUAUUGGCGACUCCGGUUAUGAUGGAGUCCUGGGUCGUGAUGGUCACCGCGGAAGGCGUGGUAAACCAGGUCCUAAGGGUUUCCGUGGUGACGACGGAGACGAGGGGUCCGUAGGACCGGAUGGGACUCAAGGACUUGACGGUGAACAGGGAGAUCCUGGGCCCCAUGGAAGGCAAGGAACUGUGGGAUAUCCUGGUGACCUUGGAAGUCAAGGUAAAGCAGGAGCUGAAGGAGACAUCGGGCUUGAAGGAUCUAAAGGAGUAGCGGGGCCUCCUGGUCUCCCAGGCCCCCCUGGGGAGGUAGGGUCAACGGGACAAGCGGGUGAAAAGGGACCCCUGGGAUAUCAGGGGGAGAGAGGCUCCAGGGGCUCCACAGGAACUCAGGGGCCCCCUGGAAACAGUGGGGAUGACGGCAUCCAAGGUAGUCCAGGCUUCAAAGGAAGACAGGGUGAAGUUGGUAUCAAUGGACUCGAAGGCAGUCAAGGUCCUUCUGGAGAAAGGGGAAUUCCUGGAGAUGCAGGGCCAACUGGAGGAGACGGUCCACUGGGUAACUACGGAGAACCUGGAGCGCGCGGAGGACCUGGGGAUAAAGGAACAACGGGUCGGCACGGAGCUCCUGGGAGUCUUGGUUUGCCAGGAGGACGUGGACUUAAGGGAAAACAAGGUAAUCCAGGACCACAGGGUCAGUCUGGUCGUGAAGGAGAUCAAGGAAUAUCUGGUGACCUAGGCCUGAAUGGAAGAGAAGGAUCAACUGGUGCUAUGGGCUCCAUGGGUCACCGAGGAAACAGAGGAGAGCGCGGCAGUAAGGGAACCAAAGGCGGAGGAGGAAGAGCAGGGCCUCCAGGAUCACCCGGUCUUGCUGGUCUCCGCGGGUGGCGUGGUCAGCUGGGAGGAGGAGGGACGCCUGGAAUCCCUGGAGAACUUGGAGACAAUGGUCGGCCUGGUAGACAAGGGAAGGGUGGUUUGGCUGGUGUGGUAGGACUGAUGGGAUCAACAGGAAAGAAAGGACAACGGGGUCCUCAAGGAAAACUUGGAACACCUGGUUUGACCGGUAAAAGUGGCCCUAAGGGAAACAGGGGUGCAGCUGGGGAGCCAGGCAAAGUGGGAGCCACAGGGCAAUUGGGUCGAGCGGGACCUGGUGGUGAAACAGGAGAACAGGGGCUUCCCGGUGACAUGGGUGAAACAGGCUCUGAGGGUGUCCAAGGAGAAAAGGGCGAGCAGGGCAGAAUGGGUUUGAAAGGUGAUCGAGGAGAAAAUGGUUUCCCAGGAAGAGAGGGAGAUGCCGGUAUUUCUGGGAUGGAAGGAGAAACAGGAGACAUGGGCAGUGUUGGACCACAAGGCAUUCAAGGAAAUAUUGGCAGACCGGGAAAUAUGGGAUUGCCUGGACCCAUUGGAACAAUAGGACAGGACGGAAGCCUUGGUCCACGGGGUGCAGUGGGAGCGACAGGUGCUGUGGGAGAGCCCGGAGUCAAAGGGGAAAUGGGACAUGCAGGUUUGAAUGGCCGACCCGGCCAAUCAGGAUCGAUGGGACAAAAGGGGGCGAGUGGAGAAAAUGGAAAGCAAGGAGAACGUGGUCCAGAAGGAAACAGGGGAACUCCAGGCAACAAUGGUUUUCCUGGACUUCAUGCCACUCAGGGAGACACGGGCGAGAAAGGAGUGGCUGGUAUUAAGGGUCUUAUAGGAUACAGAGGUCAAACGGGUCCUGUUGGAGAGAUGGGUCUUCAGGGGCCAACGGGUCUAAAAGGAGCUAAGGGUCCAAACGGAGAUGAGGGGAUGACUGGAGAAAGGGGAGAAGAAGGAGAACUGGGAAUUGCAGGUUCUGUGGGUGCAAAGGGAGAAGCUGGUGAUAGAGGAGAACAGGGUUUGGAGGGAGCACCUGGAGACUUAGGAAAUAAAGGAGACCCUGGAAUACCGGGAGAAGCUGGAUCUGAGGGAUCUCUUGGUGAACGAGGACAAAAUGGCAUUAAGGGACUCAACGGUGAUUUUGGACCUAAAGGUUCUCGAGGCUCAACAGGAUUUUCAGGCUCCACUGGCUUAACUGGAAACCCUGGUGAGCCAGGACAAACUGGGGCUCAGGGCCCUGUAGGACCACCAGGCGUAAAUGGACCUUCUGGCAGCAAAGGACCAAUCGGACUAGUUGGUAAACGUGGAGCCACAGGACAAAUUGGUGGAGAAGGACCAAAGGGAGAAAGAGGAGAACCAGGUAGUGAUGGUGAAGACGGCACAACAGGGAGAGAGGGUAGCAUUGGACUUCCCGGAAAGAAUGGAAACCGAGGAGAAAAGGCAGAUGAAGGUCCCCGAGGUUUAAUGGGGAAAAUUGGACUGGCUGGGAAACCAGGUGAAAAGGGUCUUCCUGGGGCAUCUGGUUCAACAGGUGCCUCCGGUCUGCAAGGAGUUAAAGGAAUGCAGGGAGCUCGAGGAGAUCAAGGGGCCACAGGACAUUUUGGGGAAGAUGGUCCUCACGGAGUCACCGGUUAUCCAGGCUUACCUGGGAAGCAAGGGGUCAAGGGCGACUCUGGCGAGUUAGGAGAUGAUGGCAUUAGAGGAAGAGCAGGGGAAAAGGGAAGUAGAGGAAUCAGAGGCGCGAAAGGACCCAUAGGGUCUAAAGGUGCACAGGUGAGCCUGGUCUCGUAGGACCGUUUGGACCAGCUGGACCGCAGGGAGCUGGCGGUAUCAGAGGAAGCCAAGGAUCUCCUGGGUUACAAGGAAUUCUUGGACCACCUGGUUCACCAGGAGGCUUUGGAAACAAAGGAGAUGCUGGACCACAGG